UGAGGAAUAUUGGUCAAUGGGCGCAAGCCUGAACCAGCCAUCCCGCGUGAAGGAAGAAGGCCCUACGGGUUGUAAACUUCUUUUCUGUUUGAAGAAUAAGCUCGUCGAGACGAGUGAUGCCGGUAGGACAGGAAUAAGCAUCGGCUAACUCCGUGCCAGCAGCCGCGGUAAUACGGAGGAUGCAAGCGUUAUCCGGAUUUAUUGGGUUUAAAGGGUGCGCAGGUGGUUUAAUAAGUCAGUGGUGAAAGUCUGGCGCUUAACGUUAGGAUUGCCAUUGAUACUGUUAGACUUGAAUAUGGAUGAGGUAGGCGGAAUGUGUAGUGUAGCGGUGAAAUGCUUAGAUAUUACACAGAACACCGAUUGCGAAGGCAGCUUACUAAUCCAUCAUUGACGCUGAGGCACGAAAGCGUGGGGAUCAAACAGG
rnacentral:rRNA from 1 species